GACGAACGCUGGCGGCGUGCUUAACACAUGCAAGUCGUACGGUAAGGCCCUUUCGGGGGUACACGAGUGGCGAACGGGUGAGUAACACGUGAGUAACCUGCCCACAACUUUGGGAUAACGCUAGGAAACUGGUGCUAAUACUGGAUAUGUGCUCCUGCUGCAUGGUGGGGGUUGGAAAGCUCCGGCGGUUGUGGAUGGACUCGCGGCCUAUCAUCUUGUUGGUGGGGUAGUGGCCUACCAAGGCGGCGACGGGUAGCCGGCCUGAGAGGGUGACCGGCCACAUUGGGACUGAGAUACGGCCCAGACUCCUACGGGAGGCAGCAGUGGGGAAUAUUGCACAAUGGGCGCAAGCCUGAUGCAGCAACGCCGCGUGCGGGAUGACGGCCUUCGGGUUGUAAACCGCUUUCAGCAGGGACGAAGCUUUUUGUGACGGUACCUGCAGAAGAAGCACCGGCUAACUACGUG
rnacentral:rRNA from 1 species